CUCCUCUCUUCCUCAUCGAGAUUUUGAAAAGGCUAUCCUUACCCAAAAUUACCCAAGUUGAUAAAUUCAACUUAAUUUCUUGACAUAUGAAAAUGAAGGGAAAAACUCCAUGGAUUAUGAGGUAGAAAAUCAAAUACUCGAUAAUUUGACUUUAUGAGGUGCUCCGGCUGCCCACUUGUUAUGAUACAACAUCAUUAAUCCGCAACAGUGAUAAAGGGUAAAUGCUGAAAAUUUGCUUGCAGAUUUUUAUGGGGAGGUAACCAAGAAAUCUUCUCGGAGAAUUGCUAUGUGAGGUAGACUCUAACUGUAACAAUUUUUGUUUGCAACGAAGAUAUUUGUGGAAUUGCGCCAGAGGGGGAAAAAAACUCUGUGGAUUGAUUUAUGCCAGUUAAGUAGCUGUUCAGCACACUAAGAAAGAUUCUUAUUCAAUUUACAGUUGAAACCUUGGCAGACUGGUGUAGGAUGCAACUACAAAGAACCAGAACUAUAGAAGAAGGGGAAAGAGGGGGAAGAUAUGGCAGAAAGGGGAAGAGGAGAAAAACGGACGUAAAAGAGGGCAGAAAGAUAUUAGGGAGGAACCAGUGUUUUUUUUUCCCUUUCCAAUAUCAAAAUUUAACUCUUACAAUGUGUAAGCCCUUUAGGGUUCAAAUUAAUCUAAUUUAAGUAAAAAGCAACUAAUGAAAUAUUAGAAAAUUUAUAAAACCAAACCCUAAUUAGUUCUCCUAAAAUAAGAAUCUAAGCUUUGAAAGUCUUCAUAUGACACAUUGAAUGAUAUGAUCUCCAUCACAGACACUCAGGUAGUGUGCAAAUAAUUGGCAGCCUAUAUUAAGUUGCAGUUCUUUUCGUUCUGUUUUAUGCAUGACCAACCACAAACUGCUCUAGACAAACAGUUUGGUGCAAGGCAAAUAUUCUUCAAUGGUUGCAUUGCAUGACUAUGAUACAAAGUUCUCCGAUAUAAAAUAAAAUGAAAUUUUCAGCAUGACUCAGGAUAAGAAUUGUGUCUUUUUCCUGGAUAUGGUAAAAAUAUAUUGAACACUUGAAAAGAUAUGGCAGGUAAAUCUCAUCAUUAUUUUACGGCACAAGCUAAAAUUGUGUUGUAGUUAGUACAUUAAUCAAUAUUUAUUUGCUUGUUUAAUGUUUACUUGAAAGUAGCUUAAUCUCCAUCAUACUCUUUUACGUCUAUGAUAUGAAGUAAUGUUAGGUUCUCCUUCUUUUCUAAAUGAAUGGAAUUGGGUGGGGGAGAGCUUUACAUACACUUGUAGCGUUUAGGAAUAUUUUUUUAGUUCGUAAGUUCAAAUGAUCUUAUUGCACAAGCUUCUCUAUAAAGUAUGCAGACUGUCAUCUAUCGGGAUGAUUUUAUUGUGACACGAGUCGCUAUCUUCUGUACAAUAUGAUUUCAUGUCUACUUUUCAUAUUUAUUACAGUUAAUAAACCAGAGAGUAAAACUAAAGAGCUUUUCGCUCUUUUUUUUUCUUGAACAAAAAUAUGUUACUAUUCAGAAAGCUCCAGAACCUUUUUUUUUUUUUUCCAAUUCAGACCUUAUGAAGUCAGAUUUCGACUGCUAAACUAGGUAAUCUGGUAUGAUUAUAUGAUUUGAUCUUCUAU